ACCAUGCAAGGAUCAGGAGAAGCAUGAUCUCAGUGUUACAGAGUACAUCUCUCAUCAUGUCCAGAAAAAAAAUUAGAAGUCAUAGUCUAUUGGUGGUUGCUCCAUGAUGUCAACCUCCACGUCAGGACGAUUAGUUGGUUAUAUUUUGAUCUGCAAAGACCGCAGACUGAGAUAGUCACGGAAUGAUAACUGCCCAUCUCUGUUUUGGAGGAAAGUCAAGAUAUCGAACCUUAAAUGAAGAGGACAAAUGGAUUUGAAACAAUCAAAUUACCAUCAUGAUCAUUUCAAACAUAGCCAGGCUUGAUGUCAAUGGAACAACUGAUGUCCAAAAACAAAAACAACUAAAAGACAGAAGCAAAACCAAAACAACCCAAAACAAAAAUACAAAACAAUGGGCACACUUGAAGAAAAACAGAAACAAUCUGAAAACCAGGACUGACAAUAUUCCAACCUCUAUCCUCCUUUGAGAAGUCUUCCUGAUGAUACCAUCAGGAUUUGGAUGGAACUCAACUACUCUUCAAAAGCUCCACAACUAACUCUGUGACAGGAGCCUCUCUCACUUCCUGCCUGCUUUACUGCAAAUGUCUUCUAAUUGAUUCCUUGCUUCCACUUUUGGCCAUCACUAGUGUUCCUAUUUACUGAUUAUCUCCAUCCCUUCUCGCAAACAGAAAGUUCAGAAGGAAAGAAAUCUUAUUUGGUUUUAUUCACUGUUGAAGUUCAAGCCCCACGAACAGUGUCUGACACAUAGAAUUUAAACAGACCCUAUAUUAAUAUUUGCCUAAAUCAAAAACUGUGCCAAGUGGAAAAAUCACAUAGAGCACAUUGGCGCCACUGCUCAACAUACGCAUCCAGUUGGUGUACAAUGGGACAUAGGCCCUCAAACACACUCUCCAAACUGAGCAGGUGCAUGACAACACAGCAAAGGCUUGUUAGGAAGCCCACCUCAGUCCCUGGUUACAUUGCCAAAGUGAGUAUGAAUUCCAUGGGGUUCUAGGAGACUUCUGAUUCUAAUGAAAAAUAUGUGGCUGCUCUAACAUCGAGAUUCCUAUGAAAACACCUUCACAAGUUUCUACAGAGAUACAACUGAUAGAGCCAAGGAAGGAGAGAACAGGAAGAGCUAAAGGAGCAGCUUGGCGAAUGACUGACAAGAUUCCAAUCCUCAGCUAGAAUCAACAGGAAUAAGAAGGGCUAAAUGAAAACUUAUAGGCUCAUUUAUUUUCUAAGAAGCUUAGGCUGGAGGGAGAGAAAAGAAGCCAUAAAUUAAAUGGCACUUUGCUUGAAUAAAAGGGGAACAAAUGAGGGAAUUAAGUUGAACCCAGCAGCUCAACUACUGGACCAAAAUUAAUUGAUAGAUAAGCUGCAUUUUGACGUAAAUAAAUACUAUAAAAGAUGGGAAAAACCCAGCAAUUCUGCCUUCUUUUCAGUACAGGCAAACAAACAUCCUUUAUGGAGAGACAGAGAGUCUAGAAUUAGCUGUGGUAACAAGUAUGAAUGAGUUAUACUGUAUGUAUAAUGUAUACUAUGUGCUACUCAUGCAGUUUAGGUAGUAAUCUGGAAUUCAAAUGUGACGUAUUUAAUAGUCUAAAAUGAAACUGCUUCAUGAAAAGUUGGGCUACAGUUUAAAAAAUGUAUUAAAAUUUGUAUGAUUCUCCCCAAAUACUGUUUUUUGUG